UACGGAGGGUGCGAGCGUUGUCCGGAAUCACUGGGCGUAAAGGGAGCGUAGGUGGUUCGAUAAGUCAGAUGUGAAAGCCCGGGGCUCAACCCCGGGACUGCAUUUGAAACUAUCGGGCUAGAGUGCAGGAGAGGUAAGUGGAAUUCCUAGUGUAGCGGUGAAAUGCGUAGAUAUUAGGAGGAACACCAGUGGCGAAGGCGGCUUACUGGACUGUAACUGACACUGAGGCUCGAAAGCGUGGGGAGCAAACAGG
rnacentral:rRNA from 1 species